ACCCCUCAUGUGUCUGCGUUGUGGUUUUCACUUAAAGAACGAAGGGACGUGGGGCCAUGCAGCGGUUUUAUUCACCUGGCACGAAUAACACAAGGUUGGGAGUCCGCAGGGCGGCACAGCUUGGAAUACAUAAGCAAUGCUAGUAUGGGGAGAGACGGAAUGUUAGCUAUUUUCACGUGUGGUUUCAAAACUUCGAUGAAAAUCCACU